rnacentral:rRNA from 1 species
GGCUCAGGAUGAACGCUAGCGGCAGGCUUAAUACACGCAAGUCGAGGGGCAGCACGAAUAGCAAUAUUUGGUGGCGACCGGCGCACGGGUGCGUAACACGUAUACAACCUACCUAUAACAGGGGGAUAGCCUUUCGAAAGAGAGAUUAAUACCCCGUAAUAAAUUGAGUGGCAUCACUUGAUUUUGAAAGCUACGGCGGUUAUAGAUGGGUAUGCGUCUGAUUAGCUAGUUGGUGAGGUAACGGCUCACCAAGGCGACGAUCAGUAGGGGAUCUGAGAGGACUAACCCCCCACACUGGUACUGAGACACGGACCAGACUCCUACGGGAGGCAGCAGUAAGGAAUAUUGGUCAAUGGAGGCAACUCUGAACCAGCCAUGCCGCGUGCAGGAUGACGGCCCUAUGGGUUGUAAACUGCUUUUGUACCAGAGAAAACCUACUCACGUGUGAGUAGCUGAUAGUAUGGUAAGAAUAAGCAUCGGCUAACUUCGUG